AUCCACAUCUUCAUGCUAAGCAGUAAAAAUAGCACUGGAGUUGCAGGCAGAGGAAACAUGGGUUCAAGUCCUUACUUUGGGAACCCUGAACAAUGAAAGUACCAAGCAAGAAUGCUGAGGUGACAUCUUUCCAGAGACUAGCAGAAAGCAGAGUUCUGCUACUGGUGAAGUCAUUUCCCAAGCCUGGCUUCCUGACAGUCAGCAAAACUUGAGUGUGAGGAGCUGGCUGCAAAAAGGGUCACAUUCAUCCCUCGGGUUUUCCACCUCCUUCCUCUCCUGCUUCCCUUUUCCAGGAUCAGCCACAGUGAGGAAUCAUUCCACAUGCCUAAGAUGGUCUUGAUUCAGUCUUCACUGGGACUGAAUAGAGUUGGAGUCAGGUUCUGGAUAAGAUACCUUAUUCCCAUCAAGUAUCCAUUAUCCGAGGAAAGGAUUGGAACUCAGUCCAAAUCUUUGUAGAGAAAACCAACAUGCUAUAGUGAAAGCAGAUGUCCUGAGCUUGGAAUCAUGAAAGCCUUAAGUUCAAAUACAGUCUGCCUCUGACAUUUACCUGCUAUAUGACCUUGGGCAUAUCACUUAAA